rnacentral:lncRNA from 1 species
GAGUAGAUCUUCACUUUAUUUCAGCCGUUCAUGAAAGCUAGUUAAACUAAGUGUAAAUCCAUUCAGUCAGCAUGCCUGUAAAUCUCCUCCUCGCCUCUGUCAUGUUUCGGUCGGUAAUCUACCCCGAGAGUUUUAAAGAAAUUCAACUAUCUGACAGCGUGCUUGCUGGGCUGAAAGCUGCUACCUGGCUGGCAGGAUUAUUGUCUGGAGAGACUGAGAGAUUAAAGAAGUGAAACACCCCUUCGCUUCUUCAGGAGGUAAUUUCUUUCACCUCAUAUGAAGUUUUUAUGAUUUAAAAAAACCUUAAUAAGAACUGAGUGAUGUUAUUCUGCUAAAAUCUGAUUAUAGAUGCACUCAAAUGUACAAGUUAUGAGCCUCUCAGGGAGAUUUUAUGGUUUCUACCCAUUCAUCAAAACAUAAGAGUCCAAAAGACCAAUGAGUGACGUCAUGAUGGCUGCUUCCACUCCAUUAAACAGCCAAUAGGGCGGAGCCAUACUUCCCGGUGUUACUCAUCAAUAAAACCAUCUUCACUUGAAUUCUCAGCGUCUGCGUUUACAUCCUCACAGAUCCGCUCAUUCGGAGUAAAUGGAUCCGAUGCUCAGCCAAGAAUCAGACGUGCACUUAGAGGAAUCACAUUUAUCAUCCGCUUCACGACUUCAGGCCUGGGAGACGUCCACUAACAGAUGAUUCAUCAGAAACUCACACUUCCACUGGAAUCUUCACAAAAAUAUCAAAGUCAGACGUACGCAUGCUGCAGCAACAGUAUGCUAAUGUGCCUUUUCCCACACUCCCCUCUCUGGUUCACUGAUCUCUAAUCCAACAGGUCUUUUCAUGCAUUAUGUCCACAAAUCGUCACUUUCACAUUUUCCUUCAACAGUUUCAUCCAACACAAAUUUUUAAAAGGUGUUAUUUUCUUCCACACUGGAACAGCGAAUUGCCAAACCACCUACAUGGUUGUAAAAGAUGCAUUUCAGGGCAGCGGCUGUAUUCGAUUUCAGGCCAGUUAGAAAAAUCUUUGAUAAUAAUUUAAUUUAAUUUAAAAUCAGCGUUUAUGAGACAGACAUUUUAAUUUAUGCCACCAUAGGGAUGAAAACACACGCAUUAGUGCAGAAUUAUAUCAAUAAAGUCUUUCAUGAAGACUAAUUAACUUGUUUUCUCCUCAGUUUGAUGGAGGGUCUCGUUGGCAGUCCGGACCGUGUGAACAUACCAGAGGUCCAGGGGUCUGCGAGGCUCGCGGACCCCCUGCGGUUUGAAUUAGAGCAGAUUACAACUCUCACCAACAAAAGACACCAACCCUGCUCCCCCCCGCCCACCGCUGUGUGCUAUCUGCUGCUCUGACACAAGCAGGAGUGCCUGCUUUUGUUCUGCCGACACAUUAAAACAGAAUAAAACAGACAUUAAUCACAUCUUUAACAGCCUCAGUGUUGGAACCAUUAAUGACACAUGUAAAAAUAAUAAUGCACUUAAGUUGUAUUUAGACUUUUUUAAGCACUUUUUAAACCCAAACAGGAAGUUUUAGUCUGAUAAAAACAAAUAUAUCCAUUUAGUCUGAUUUUAUAUUCAUUGAUUUCUCUUUUAAGCUUCCUGUUUUGGGAUUUGAUCAAAUGUAAAAACAAUAAUCAGAUCAGAUUGAACAACUGGCCUGAUUGAUUUAGUGGCUGUCCUGCAGCUCUCAGAUUUUAAGCACAAUCUUAUUGAUCUAAUUAGAUCAUGUGAUUCAGUGGAGAGCUUUAAUUAAGGUGCAAUUUAUAACACGAGGUGAAGAGAAUGAAUUUAGCAGCUGGAACCAAAUUUCCUCUGACGGGUUUUUCUCUUAAAUUAUUGAGAUUUUCAGUUUUCUUGAUAACUUUUGUUUUGACUGUAACAUCUUGCAAGAAUCUGGCAACGCAAUCUGUGUCAUAACUGCAUCCAGCACAACCUCAUGGAUUGUUAAAUAAUAUGCAGGAUGGUUUAUUCUGAAUUUUUCAGAAAAGCUGUCAUUUUUUGAAGAAGCUUGUGCAUAAAUCUGCAUCGAAAUACUUGUUAAAUCAAUGCAGUGGCGUUUUCCUUGAUCACAGCCUCCUUGAAAUUAGGCUUUAGGGCACUUUAUAUUAAAUUAAAAUGUUUGGGAAUUUAAGAUACAAGAACUGUAAAUUAAUUUAUGAAGAGGUUGCACAUCCCUCCAGGCAGAGGGGUGGAGUAAAAGAAGAAGAGUUGGAGGGAUGGAGGAUGAGAGAGAGAGAGAGUCGUUCACAUGAAGUUUCAGGAAAAGAGCUCCAGUUAACUGGAAGCUACUUGGAUAUUACUCACCGGAUGAUUCAUCCUCCCUGUGAUCUCGCAGUGAUCCGACAUGUAGUAAAACACUGAGGUCAUCGAGAUAUCAGCUCUUAAGACAAGGACAACAUCAGGACGACAGGCUGUCUUUGUUUCAGAGAGGAGCUGAACGGGUCAUUGAUCCACUGUCCAAUGACUGUACGGUAACAUGAUCUAUUAAUCAACACAAGGACAAGUCGAUGCAGGCAAGAGAGCACAAAACAAGACUGGACUCUUUGGAGGAAUAUGAAAGGGCAUGAGCAGACACGAAAAAACACAACAGGCAAGUCAGAGUACGGCCGGACACUUUUCUGGUCUCUCAGGGUGAAUUCUCAAAGGCACAGCAGAGCAUAAGUGAGAUCUACGGACGCCCAAAAAUAAUGCUCUGUUUAAACUAUUUAUACACAUAUAUUGUUCUUUUUUGAUCUGCGGAUGUCAGUACUGCAUUGUCACUUUAAAAGAACAGCUUUAAUUAGCAGGGCUGAAUUAAUAAAGCUGAUGCCUGUGGGUUUCUUUUAAAGCUACCAUGAGGAACUUUUAGUUUGUCUUGACUCUGGCGCCCUCCUGUGGACAAACUGAUACCUCUCACUUCUCUCCCUUUGCAUGAGAAAGUCAUGUCUUCAGACAAAAAACUUCCCCCUGCUGUCUUUUAACAGUGAAAUGUAUGAAUAACUGUAAAUUAAAUGUGUAAGACUUGGUUUGAAAGUCUUUAAGAGGUAUCAGUAUCAGUUUUAGUUUGUUUCUAAACCAGUUAAAAACUCCCUACAGCGCCUUUAAUAAUACCAUGGCUGUCUGAAACGACUGUAAUCAAAGCUAACUGAUCAGUAUCUUCGUGAUGACUUGAUAGUUAUUUGGAGUUUCCCGGCCGUGACUUCCUCUCAUCUGAUCAACUUCCUCACAACCUGCUAACCUGAUCUGACCCAAUCAGGACAUUUUUGUGUUUAUAUGAUCAUUUAGAUUGAUUAAAAACCAAAUAGACAUACCAAUUAACCGUCUGUCAGCAGUAGGUGAGUGCUGCAUUUCAGCCAUUGUUUUGUCCUUUUCUCUCCAUAUGAACUGUUUCCCUUUCUGCAUACGACCAAAUCCGAGUUUAAACUCAGAUUUUUGUAGCCUGUAUGUGGGUUUGUUGACAAUUCACUUGUAAAAAUUGAAAUGUAUCACCUCUGCAUGAUAUUAGACAAUAUGAGACAAUACAACAUACUACGUUUUGCUUGGUUUCACAUCUUACACCUGGAAAAGCAGGGAGGGGCGGCGACCGUUUAACAUGAAGUCAACAGACUUUUGGUCCAUCGCUCCAUAGCUGGUGUGUUUCUGUAGAGAAGGGCUGGGCGAUAACAUUAAUUUACCUCCAUAUCAAAUUAAACAGAUUCAAUAUGGCUUUCGGUAGUCAGCAUUCUGACAUGUUUUGGUAGACUGUAUGAAUAGCCAAUGAAAAGGAAAGUUGCUUUGGGUCCGCUUCGCCCUGAACCGAUCAUGUGUUGAAUCAGAACCAAGUAUCAAUCAACUGCGUCAUGGCAGACAGCAGCUACACCCAACCUCUAGCGCAACGCCUUACGACAAAACGUCUAAGAGACAUGAAGACCUCACAGAUGCAGUAGAUUAUUGUAUUGGAAAGACAUGCUACCAAUAAACACUGUUAAAUUUCAUUUUUUAUAUCGUGAUAGAUAUCGAUAUCGACUGAUAUGAAAAGAAUAUAUUUUGAUAAACUUUUUUCCAUAUCGCCCAGCCCUAUAUUAGAGAAUGUUUUGGAUGACAUAUCUGGCUGGCACUUCAAAAUUUCCAACUCCCAUGAUGAAAUAGAACCAUAAAUCAAAACCAUACCACUCUGUAUAGAAUGGAUGCCGUCUGCCUCCUC